UUAACUAUCAUGAAAUACUUACAUCAACAAUAUGAUACAAUUGUAUGCAAUUAUGCUACUUAUUUGCUUUAAAAGUUGCCUAACUUGAUUCUAAGCAAACAAUUUCUUGUUCCAUGUAUUCUCUCCUAAUCUAGUAUUCCAAUCACAUCAUGAUAGGCGCAUGGUUAAAUAUUGGAUUCACAUAAUUUGAAU
rnacentral:sRNA from 1 species